UGGUGCCUAUAAGUGACAGCGCCGGGCUCAGCGAGGCUUCAGUCCGCUGCCGCCGGGGCCGGGGCUAGGGUUAGUUCUGGAGCUGAAUCGGGAGCUGCGGCUGGGCCGGGGCGGAGCGCCGCGCUGCGCCGGGGCCGCGAGGAGGGGCGUGUUGCUGCUGGCCCACCGCGAGCCGCCCCUAGCCCGCGCCGAGGCGCCUUCCCGCCAGGCCGCCUGCCUCCGCCUUCCGCCUCUCUCCAUUUCCCCGGAAUCUCAGCCCGGCGCGCCUGGACCCCUGCCCUUCUCUGGGUGGACAAGCUCCCGGCCGCUUCCCGGUUUCACUCCUUCUCAGCCUGGGCUCCCAGCCCCCUCUCUCCUUUUCCUGGACUGGGUCUCACCCCCUUCGGUCCCCUUCCAUUAGCUCAGGCUCCCUACCUCUUCCCUUAGCCCACAGCCCAGAGUCCCAGCUCCUCAGUCACUUUCCUCAGCCAAAGGUCCCAGCCUUCCCUCUUCCUUUCCCUUGCACGGGUCCAGCCUAUCCUGCCCCUUCCUCUAUCCCUAGGGCUCUGUUUCCCACAUCCCUCCUCCCCCUUCCCAGGCCCGGAGUUCCAGACCUUUUGGUCUCCUUCCGUGGUCCUUCCGGGGUGCUUGCCCCCUUUCUCCUAUUUGGAGUUCCAGGUUCCAAACCCAGCCUCCCUCCACCCCCAGAAAAUUGCUUCCAUGGAAAUGCCUUUCUAAAGCAUGAACUUUUCCUAGAGACUACACCAGUCUCUCUUCCCACUUGCUGACCCCUUGCUACCUAUGUGCCCGGUUUUACUCUCACUUGGGUAAGGUCGAGGCCGGCUCUGGGAGCAGCACCAUGGUUCUGCGGUCUGGCAUCUGUGGCCUCUUUCCACCUCGGAUCUUCCCUUCCUUGCUCGUGGUGGUCGCUUUGGUGGGGCUGCUCCCUGUUCUCAGGAGCCAUGGCCUCCAGCUCAGCCCAACUGCCAGCACCAUUCGAAGCUCAGAGCCACCACGAGAACGCUCGAUUGGAGAUGUCACCACCGCUCCACCGGAGGUCACCCCAGAGAGCCGCCCUGUUAAUCAUUCCGUCACUGAUCAUGGCAUGAAGCCGCGCAAGGCCUUUCCAGUCCUGGGCAUCGACUACACACACGUGCGCACCCCCUUCGAGAUCUCCCUCUGGAUCCUUCUGGCCUGCCUCAUGAAGAUAGGUUUCCAUGUGAUCCCCACUAUCUCAAGCAUCGUCCCGGAGAGCUGCCUGCUGAUCGUGGUGGGGCUGCUGGUGGGGGGCCUGAUCAAGGGUGUAGGCGAGACACCCCCCUUCCUGCAGUCCGACGUCUUCUUCCUCUUCCUGCUGCCGCCCAUCAUCCUGGACGCCGGCUACUUCCUGCCGCUGCGGCAGUUCACAGAAAACCUGGGCACCAUCCUGAUCUUUGCCGUGGUGGGCACACUGUGGAACGCCUUCUUCCUGGGCGGCCUCAUGUACGCCGUGUGCCUGGUGGGCGGUGAGCAGAUCAACAACAUCGGCCUCCUGGACAACCUGCUCUUCGGCAGCAUCAUCUCGGCCGUGGACCCCGUGGCGGUUCUGGCUGUCUUUGAGGAAAUUCACAUCAAUGAGCUGCUGCACAUCCUUGUCUUUGGGGAGUCCUUGCUCAAUGACGCCGUCACUGUGGUCCUGUAUCACCUCUUUGAGGAGUUUGCCAACUAUGAGCACGUGGGCAUCGUGGACAUCUUCCUCGGCUUCCUGAGCUUCUUCGUGGUGGCCCUGGGCGGGGUGUUUGUAGGCGUGGUCUACGGGGUCAUCGCAGCCUUCACCUCCCGAUUUACCUCGCACAUCCGGGUCAUCGAGCCGCUCUUCGUCUUCCUCUACAGCUACAUGGCCUACUUGUCGGCCGAGCUCUUCCACCUGUCAGGCAUCAUGGCGCUUAUAGCCUCGGGAGUGGUGAUGCGCCCCUAUGUGGAGGCCAACAUCUCCCACAAGUCCCACACCACCAUCAAAUACUUCCUGAAGAUGUGGAGCAGCGUCAGCGAGACCCUCAUCUUCAUCUUCCUUGGCGUCUCCACGGUGGCUGGCUCCCACCACUGGAACUGGACCUUCGUCAUCAGCACCCUGCUCUUCUGCCUCAUCGCCCGCGUGCUGGGCGUGCUGGGCUUGACCUGGUUCAUCAACAAGUUCCGCAUCGUGAAGCUGACCCCCAAGGACCAAUUCAUCAUCGCCUAUGGGGGCCUGCGAGGGGCCAUCGCCUUCUCUCUGGGCUACCUCCUGGACAAGAAGCACUUCCCUAUGUGUGACCUAUUCCUCACUGCCAUCAUCACCGUCAUCUUCUUCACCGUCUUUGUGCAGGGCAUGACCAUUCGGCCCCUGGUAGACCUGUUGGCUGUGAAGAAAAAGCAGGAAACGAAGCGCUCCAUCAACGAGGAGAUCCACACGCAGUUCCUGGACCACCUUCUGACAGGCAUCGAGGACAUCUGUGGCCACUACGGUCACCACCACUGGAAGGACAAGCUCAACCGGUUUAAUAAGAAAUACGUGAAGAAGUGUCUGAUAGCCGGCGAGCGCUCCAAGGAGCCCCAACUCAUCGCCUUCUACCACAAGAUGGAGAUGAAGCAGGCCAUCGAGCUGGUGGAGAGCGGGGGCAUGGGCAAGAUCCCCUCUGCCGUCUCCACCGUCUCCAUGCAGAACAUCCACCCCAAGUCCCUGCCUUCUGAGCGCAUCCUGCCAGCACUGUCCAAGGACAAGGAGGAGGAGAUUCGCAAAAUCCUGAGGAACAACUUGCAGAAGACCAGGCAGCGGCUGCGGUCCUACAACAGACACACGCUGGUGGCGGACCCCUACGAGGAAGCCUGGAACCAGAUGCUGCUCCGGAGGCAGAAGGCCCGGCAGCUGGAGCAGAAGAUCAACAACUACCUGACAGUGCCAGCCCACAAGCUGGACUCGCCCACCAUGUCUCGGGCCCGCAUCGGCUCAGACCCACUGGCGUAUGAGCCGAAGGAGGACCUGCCUGUCAUCACCAUCGACCCGGCCUCCCCGCAGUCACCCGAGUCUGUGGACCUGGUGAACGAGGAGCUGAAGGGCAAGGUCUUGGGGUUGAGCCGGGAUCCUGCGAAGGUGGUCGAGGAGGACGAGGAGGACGAUGGGGGUAUCAUGAUGCGGAGCAAGGAGCCUUCGACCCCAGGAACCGACGAUGUCUUCACCCCCGCACCCAGUGACAGCCCCAGCUCCCAGAGGAUACAGCGCUGCCUCAGUGACCCAGGCCCGCACCCUGAGCCUGGGGAGGGAGAGCCGUUCAUCCCUAAGGGGCAGUAGCGCCAGAGCCAGCAGGCAGCGCCCGUCCCCUCACAGACUCUCCCACCAGAGCAGGGGCUGCUGGGGGCUCCCCUUGCCCUUCCUGACCCGGAUUGGCCCUGCCCCUCCCCCUACCGCAUGGCAGCUGGGCCCACAGCCCCCACCCCAGCACAGCUCCCCGCCACCGCCUCCUGGGAAGCAUCCGCCCCACCAGAGCUGCCUCCCCAAUCCAUUUGGCAGAACUGCUGGGGCUGGUGAGGCCGGCUCUGCCUCUCCCUAGAUCCAGGCUUCUCCCGGACCUGGACUAGGGCCUCGGAGGCUCCUCCCUCUGCCUCAUCCUCCUCCUCAUUCAGACCAAUCUUAGUUUCUAACCAAAGAGUCUCUGGCUCAGCCGUGGUCCCACCCAGGAAGGGAGGGAGCUGAGGCCUCCCUCGAGCAGGCCCUGCUUUAUUAGGGGACACGCCAGGGGUACCAGUCACAUGGCUGGGGGAGGGACUGCUGACCCACCAAGGUCUCACACUCCUGCCAGCUCUGUCACCCUGGCUACCACCCCAACCUGUCCUUACUCAGAGCUGCGGGCUGAGGGCAUCUCUGAGCGUCUCUGCCUGGAGCAGGGGUGGUUUCUAGGUCGACAGUGACGUGACUCAGAGCUUUCCGAACUGUGCUCCCAUGGGGACCACUGGGCCCCUCAGGGGAUGCUGCUGAGGGAAGGACUGGCCGUGGCUCCAGAAUGUGCUGCCUUUUUAAGUUUCGUUUGUUCACACUUCUAUAUAUGAUUGUUUGCACGGAGGGCACUCCUGUUUUUUAAAACAUUUUGAAAACCCCUGGCUGAACAGUGCUCUGCCUCUAACUCCUCACACUCCAGGAAUUACCCUUCUUCAUUUGUGCCUGUCUGUCCAACCCCGUCCCCCAUAUUUCUCUGCCUGCUGGGCUCUUAACUAUUGCCCGAAGACUGUGACAUCAGAAGUAACUCCCACUCCUAAUCAAGAGUCUCUCCAGCCUCACAGAUGCUGGCCUCUUGGCACCUGCCUAGCUCUUGGGCCUGACCUCCAGUCCUGCUGGCCUGCUCUUACUUCCCCCACUCUGGGUUUGGCCCCUGGAACCUUUCCCUCGUGUGUACCACACCCUGCCUGCCGUGGAGCCCAUUGUGGAGGCGGUCGGGGGUGGGGGGAGAAGGCCUCCCCUGAGGAUCUCCUGUCCCCCGGGGCUGGUGGGUUGGGCAGAAUCCUGGGCCCCCAGAGACCUUUGCUCACACACACUCCUUCCCCCUGUCCCUGGGGCACUCCCCCAGGAUUGUGCAAUAGUCAGAGUGUCCCUCUUUGCAGGGGACUGGGCCAUGGGUCCUCGGCCCAUCUGUCCAUCCUCCUCUCCAUGCAAGUGCUGUUUGGGCAGGAGUCACCAUGCAAGGGUGACGUCGACAACCAUGUACCAAGCCACCGCAGCUGCUGCCACUCUGCCGCCUGUACAGAAGAAACUGAAUCUUUUUCAUAUUCUAAUAAAUCAAUGUUGAAUCUGAGGCUGCAGAACCCGAGGGUACAGAGGCCGACUGUAUAUUCAAAGGGGUACCAAGAGCCUUCAACUAAGGGAUUAACUGGAGAUGUGGGCAGGGUUGUGGGAACCUACCAAGGAUGGGACCCAGCAGGGCUCACGCUACAGGAAGCCGUUACAACCCAUAGAGCUGAAAGGGCAAGAGGAGGGAGCCCUCAUCAUGGGAGGGGACUGCCCAGCUAGAGCUGUGGCCAUGUUUACAACAGCCCCUGCCAGAGAGGGCGUCAGGGAGGUUGGGGGUGGACAGGUUUCAUCCUGAUGGUGCCUCCCACUGGCCAAUCCCAACUGAAAGCCCGAAGGGAAGGCAGCCAGAGCAGGUUGGCCCUUCAUCAAAUGGGGCGUGUGGAUGUGGAAGGGAAACGAGAUCCAAGCAGGGCUAUUCCUUUUACCCCUCUGCACCCACUCUUGUCCUUUGGGUGAAAAACUCAUGUCCCUGUUGCUUAAUGGUUGCAGAAUUUCUGUUUGGGAUGAUGAAAAAGUUUGGGAAAUAGGUUGUGGUGAUGAUUGCACAACAUCAUGAAUGUACUAGACACCACUGAAGUAUUUGCUUUAAAAUGGUUAGUUUUAUGUUAUGUGAAUUUCAUCUUCAUUUUUUUUUUUAACGGAAGGAACAGUCUCAUCAACACCAUCAACCUUGUCAGAUUCACCCUGUUCUUGUUAACCUUCAGUCAUACUCACCUGGAGCCUAACUUAACACAUUAGUCAUCAACAGGGCUUAUUUA